rnacentral:rRNA from 1 species
CGAAAGCCUGACGGAGCAAGACCGCGUGAGGGAGGAAGGCUCUUGGGUUGUAAACCUCUUUUCUCAGGGAAGAAGCUCUGACGGUACCUGAGGAAUCAGCCUCGGCUAACUCCGUGCCAGCAGCCGCGGUAAUACGGAGGAGGCAAGCGUUAUCCGGAAUUAUUGGGCGUAAAGCGUCCGCAGGUGGCAAUUCAAGUCUGCUGUUAAAGACAGUGGCUCAACUACUGAAAGGCAGUAGAUACUGAAGGACUAGAGUGCGGUAGGGGCAGAGGGAAUUCCCGGUGUAGCGGUGAAAUGCGUAGAUUUCGGGAAGAACAUCGGUGGCGAAAGCGCUCUACUGGACGGCAACUGACACUCAGGGACGAAAGCUAGGGGAGCG